UCGUCGGCUAGAAGCGUCCUAUGUUUCGGAGCAGUCGCACGCAGUCACAAGGUACCUGUCACAAUUGGAUAAUCUCUUAACGAAGAAGGUCGAAGUAUAGAAAUAAAGAGAGAAAGAUCAAGGGAAAAAGCUUCAUCAUAGCUUUCUGCAUACGAAAAACUAUUGUUAAGUGAGAACAUUUUGUAGAAAUUAAUUGAAUUCUUCUUAAAUUGCAACUCUGCAACUCUAUUCGAUCGCUCGGAAAAAGACCGAGUACAAAGAUGUGCGGUGGUUUUACGUGCUCGAAAAAUGCGCUGACAGCACUAAAUAUACUCUAUAUUGUCGUUGCAUUUAUUUUGAUUGGCGUCGCAGUUUAUGGAAGAGCAUCAGCUUUAGUUACUAAUCUUCCUAUAAUUGGUGGAAUUUUAGCGUGCGGAGUGAUACUUAUUCUCAUCUCCAUUCUCGGGCUAAUCGGUGCUGUAAAACAUCAUCAAGUUUUAUUGUUCUUUUACAUGCUUAUUUUGUUCCUUCUAUUUUUGAUUCAAUUCAGCAUUGCUUGCGCUUGUCUUGCAGUUAAUGCUAAACAACAGGAACAACUUGCAGAACAAGGAUGGAGACGAGUUGGAGAUGAUUUAAGAGCUAAAGUAGAAGAAACCUUCCAUUGCUGUGGAUUUAAUGACACUGUUAUUGAAAAAGAUCCCUUGGCAUGCCAUGAUAAAAAUAGAACUUGCUGUCCUUUCUCUGACCGUGAAUGCACUGACCGAUGUCCACUAUGUAUGCAAAAAUUGCAAUCUACAAUUGAUUAUGCCUUCAAACUUUGUGGUAGUAUAGGAUUAUUUUUCAGUUUUACAGAGUUUGUUGGUGUUUGGUUGACCGUGCGGUACAGGAACCAGAAAGAUCCGCGAGCUAAUCCUAGUGCUUUUCUCUAGUCUAACACCAUCGCCAUGUCCUCUAUCUCCUCAUACGACCCUCCUAAUAGAUGGUGAUCGCAGCUUUUGUAGCAAAGCAUUACAAAAAUCAGCUAGAUCCGCAGCAGAAAGCUGCAAGAGCUGCAUUUCCCCAACUAAAUUAUCUUUAUUAAUAUGAUUCACUUUUAUUUUCUUCGUAGAAAAGUGAUACUAGAUCCACGAAUAUUGGAUCUUGCUUUAUAUCCGUAAUCAAUAGAAAAUACAUGAUUAUCAUCUAAGAGCCAGAGAACAAAUUUUUAUGUAUCUGUUUAAGGAUGAGAUAAAAGUACCGUUUCUGAUUUAUAAUGCUCGAAAGAAUUCUACAAUAUUAUAAUAUGAGAAUGAACAAUUUUACAAAAUUAUUACGUCUAUAAAAUAUAUAUGUUGUAAUAAUUUACACAAAAUGCUCAAUACAAGCUUUAACACAUUGUGUGGCUUAAUGUUGGAUAUACUUGAUUAUAGGUACAUUUUCAUAAGCACCUUUUUGAUGAGACUACUGUGCAUUCCAUUUUUGUUCUAGUAUCAUAUUUCAUAUCUAUUAAAUGCACCCAUAUCUAGCUAUUACACAUAAAACAUCUCUUUAUUAUUAUAUCACAAGUAUAUUCGUAGAAUUCUUUAAUGAAAUUUUUAGACUUUCACAAUAUUGUGUAAUUAUAAUUUCAUACUACUUAAAUUUUCCUCUGCCAUAUUACCAUUAAGUAAGUAAAAUAGGUAUCAGUAUUUCUUUAUUAUUGUUUAUAAAAAUAUGAUUUUCUUUCUAAGACUGGAAGAAACCAAAUAAUUUUCAUAUAUAAUUUGAUAUUUCCAAUUAAAUGAUAUUUUUUAAUAUUUAUUUAAUAUACAUUAUAUUGUGUCUUAAACAUGUUCAAAUUAAGAAUUAUACUUGAAUUUUCAUGAAAGAGAAGUUAACAAAAUUAUACAAAUUAUAGUCUUCCUUUAAAUCACAUUUUAUGAAUUCUGCAAAUUUUUAUAUAUUGUUUUUGCAAUCGCCGCUUACAUUAAUUCAUUUUCUUCUGUAUAUAACAUAUGAAAAUAUUAAAUGCUUCCUAUGUUUAGUUUAACGUAUAUUCUAAUAAAUACGUUUACAAUAGAUAUUUAUUUAGUUGACCAUAAAUUAGAUCAAUUAAAUCAAAAUUGUAAAAUAUCAAUGAUCUUAUUUACUAUUACAAAGUUAAUAUAAUUUAUAUCACAUUAGUUUGUGUUUAAUCCAAUACCAUAAUAGAUCUGCAUAAUUACAAUAAUAUAAGAAAAUCAAGUAAUUUCACGAUGUGCAUAAUCGAUUUUUUAUAAUAGUCGUAGUAUUUUAACAUUGCUUAUAAUAAUAUAGCUUUAAAAUAAUAUAGAUUGUAUAAAAAUAAUUUAGAUAAAAUGCGCAAUUAAUCGACGCAUUUUGCUGUAACAGAAUUUUCAUGCUUUUUAUUUGCAAUGAUCUAUUAAUAUUUAUUUAGAAGUAAUUUAGUUUUAUUUUCAUUUAUAUUGUGUGAAAUAUACUAUAUAUUAUAAUAGUAUGUCUUGCUUGAAAUCAAGUUUUAAGCUAAUCCUAAAUAAUAUUUGAAACCUAAAUAUAUAAGAUAUUAAAAUUAUAUAAUUACUUAGGUAGAAAAAUUAUAAAGAUUAGAAAGAAUUGUAUUUAAGUAGUACAUUUGCCUAUGUUCAUCUUAAGAUUCAAUACUGAUGGUUUUUUUUUUUUUUUUCUGUUUUUUAGUGAGUCCUCUUUUAUUUUGUUAUUAUAUUUUAAGUUAUAUACAUUUUUCAUACUUGUUAGAAAAAUCUCAUUUAUCACGUUAAAGUACAAUAUCUUCAAAUCAAAUGACUACCAGACCUCGGAAUCUUUUAAUUUGUUUGAAAAAUAAUGUUUGAUAAAAAAUUGUAAUGUUACGAUUAUAUCCAACAGCUACAUUGCGGUCUAUAUAAAUUAUAUUAGCAUUGUAAACAUAAAGUUCACAUUUAUACUUAAUGAAUAUAGUAUAAUGCACAUUCUUCAAAAAUGUAUUAACAACGAUGUAUAGAUAUUGAUAUAUCUGCGAUGAAUUAAUAAGAAUACAACAUAAAAUAUCAAGUUGAUAAUUAAUAAAUCACUGGAGGUGCUUGUA